rnacentral:rRNA from 1 species
AUUGAACGCUGGCGGCAGGCUUAACACAUGCAAGUCGAGCGGUAGCACAGGGGAGCUUGCUCCCUGGGUGACGAGCGGCGGACGGGUGAGUAAUGUCUGGGAAACUGCCUGAUGGAGGGGGAUAACUACUGGAAACGGUAGCUAAUACCGCAUAACGUCGCAAGACCAAAGAGGGGGACCUUCGGGCCUCUUGCCAUCAGAUGUGCCCAGAUGGGAUUAGCUAGUAGGUGGGGUAAUGGCUCACCUAGGCGACGAUCCCUAGCUGGUCUGAGAGGAUGACCAGCCACACUGGAACUGAGACACGGUCCAGACUCCUACGGGAGGCAGCAGUGGGGAAUAUUGCACAAUGGGCGCAAGCCUGAUGCAGCCAUGCCGCGUGUGUGAAGAAGGCCUUCGGGUUGUAAAGCACUUUCAGCGAGGAGGAAGGUGGCGAGCUUAAUACGUUCAUCAAUUGACGUUACUCGCAGAAGAAGCACCGGCUAACUCCGUG